AACGAACGCUGGCGGCGUGCCUAACACAUGCAAGUCGAACGCGAAAGGGAGCAAUCCCCUGUAGCGUGGCAGACGGGUGAGUAACACGUGGGUAACCUACCCGGAGGUGGGGGAUAACCCUUCGAAAGGAGGGCUAAUACCGCAUGAUACCGUGGGGACCUCGGUCCUUGCGAUCAAAGCUGGCCUCUGUUUACAAGCUAGCGCCACCGGAUGGGCCCGCGCCCCAUUAGCUAGUUGGUGAGGUAACGGCUCACCAAGGCGACGAUGGGUAGCCGGCCUGAGAGGGCGAUCGGCCACACUGGAACUGCGACACGGUCCAGACUCCUACGGGAGGCAGCAGUGAGGAAUAUUGCGCAAUGGGCGAAAGCCUGACGCAGCGACGCCGCGUGGAGGAUGAAGGUCUUCGGAUUGUAAACUCCUGUCGAGUGGGACGAAUGCCAUGAGGGUGAAUACCCCUUGUGGUUGACGGUACCGCUGGAGGAAGCCCGGCUAA
rnacentral:rRNA from 1 species